GUCGACGAGAGAGAGGAGCUUGCUUCUUCGAUCGAGUGGCGAACGGGUGAGUAACGCGUGAGGAACCUGCCUCAAAGAGGGGGACAACAGUUGGAAACGACUGCUAAUACCGCAUAAGCCCACGGGUCGGCAUCGAUCUGAGGGAAAAGGAGCAAUCCGCUUUGAGAUGGCCUCGCGUCCGAUUAGCUAGUUGGUGAGGUAACGGCCCACCAAGGCGACGAUCGGUAGCCGGACUGAGAGGUUGAACGGCCACAUUGGGACUGAGACACGGCCCAGACUCCUACGGGAGGCAGCAGUGGGGAAUAUUGCACAAUGGGGGAAACCCUGAUGCAGCGACGCCGCGUGGAGGAAGAAGGUCUUCGGAUUGUAAACUCCUGUUGUUGAGGAAGAUAAUGACGGUACUCAACAAGGAAGUGGCGGCUAACUACGUGCCAGCAGCCGCGGUAAAACGUAGGUCACAAGCGUUGUCCGGAAUUACUGGGUGUAAAGGGAGCGCAGGCGGGAAGACAAGUUGGAAGUGAAAUCUAUGGGCUUAACCCAUAAACUGCUUUCAAAACUGUUUUUCUUGAGUAGUGCAGAGGUAGGCGGAAUUCCCGGUGUAGCGGUGGAAUGCGUAGAUAUCGGGAGGAACACCAGUGGCGAAGGCGGCCUACUGGGCACCAACUGACGCUGAGGCUCGAAAGUGUGGGUAGCAAACAGGAUUAGAUACCCUGGUAGUCCACACCGUAAACGAUGAUUACUAGGUGUUGGAGGAUUGACCCCUUCAG
rnacentral:rRNA from 1 species